rnacentral:lncRNA from 2 species
GAAUAAUCAACCAUGGCUUAAAAUGAUGUACCAUGCCAUAGAAUGAAGAAUGUUUCUAGAUAUUUUGGGGGUUGAUAUUUUAGCUUUGCAAAAGGUAAGUGCUCCUUUUAUGCUACAAUAUUUCUAAAAAUGAAAUGGACUGAGGGAGGUAUAUCAUAGUAGCCAGAUUUUAUCAAAACUAUCACAGAGUAUCUGUCAAGGUCAACAGCUAAUGCAGAAGUUAUAUUCUUAGUUCUGCUACAAAGAUGGGGGAAAAAAUUGUUUAAUUAAAGGAAGGUGAUAAAUUAAAUCCCUUGUAGGAUUUCUGAAGUUCUGUUUUUGAUCGUAAAAUGUCUUUACUAGAGCAACUUGUUACUUCAACAUUCCUACAUAAAAAUAUUCAUAUUUCCUUAGCUAUAUCCAAAUCUUCAAAAUAGUUUUUAAAGUUUUCCUUGCAGAGUGGGAAUACCAAUGAUGCAGCACUCCUCUGGAUUUAGAUUUCAUUCAAAUUCUAAUAGGGUGAAUAUUCCUAGCCAAAAUUCCUUCUAAUCCCAACUCCUAAUCUUGUUUCCAUUGAUCAUCAUGGUGAACUACUUCUUUUUCUCUUUGGGCAGAGUCUCCAUGGUGCAUUGCUACAGUGAUAUUUGCCUUGCUUUAUUUAAUUGCUCUUGCACUAGCUGCAUUUAUGAUAGCUAAGGUUAAUUGUCUAGAAGAAAUUCUGAAUACAUAUGAAAACAAUACGUCAAAUGUGCCUGGACGCUGCAACACAAUAUAGCAAAACCGAGGUAACUGGUCCUUCUCUGAAGAAAACUGAUAUCUUAUUUCUGCUGAAAAUAAGAUCUUGGCAGCAAGGAAAUUGUCCUGAAGCCCUGAGCUCCAGUCUUAUCAAGAAAUAUAACAAAGAAGAAUUGGAAAUGUAUGGCACAAUAACCCUUCCCACAUUUUCUUAUACGGAAGAUAAUUAUAGAGACAUUUUAACAUUAUGUGUUCAUUCAAGCAUGCUAAACUCAACAUAUUGUAAUAAUUGA